UACGUAGGGGGCAAGCGUUGUCCGGAAUUAUUGGGCGUAAAGAGCGCGUAGGCGGUCCGGUAAGUCGGCUGUGAAAGUCAAGGGCUCAACCCUUGAAAGCCGGCCGAUACUGUCGGACUAGAGUCCGGAAGAGGCGAGUGGAAUUCCUGGUGUAGCGGUGAAAUGCGCAGAUAUCAGGAGGAACACCAAUUGCGAAGGCAGCUCGCUGGGACGUUACUGACGCUGAGACGCGAAAGCGUGGGGAGCAAACAGG
rnacentral:rRNA from 1 species